rnacentral:rRNA from 1 species
GAUGAACGCUGGCGGCGUGCCUAAUACAUGCAAGUCGAGCGAACGGACGAGAAGCUUGCUUCUCUGAUGUUAGCGGCGGACGGGUGAGUAACACGUGGAUAACCUACCUAUAAGACUGGGAUAACUUCGGGAAACCGGAGCUAAUACCGGAUAAUAUUUUGAACCGCAUGGUUCAAAAGUGAAAGACGGUCUUGCUGUCACUUAUAGAUGGAUCCGCGCUGCAUUAGCUAGUUGGUAAGGUAACGGCUUACCAAGGCAACGAUGCAUAGCCGACCUGAGAGGGUGAUCGGCCACACUGGAACGGAGACGCGGUCCAGACUCCUACGGGAGGCAGCAGUAGGGAAUCUUCCGCAGUGGGCGAAAGCCUGACGGAGCAACGCCGCGUGGGUGAUGAAGGUCUUCGGAUCGUAAAACUCUGUUAUUAGGGAAGAACAUAUGUGUAAGUAACUGUGCACAUCUUGACGGUACCUAAUCAGAAAGCCACGGCUAACUACGUG